AUUUUACUGAAAAAAACACUAUGAAGGUGAGCUUCCCCCCCUGCAUAUGUGACUUUCUCCUUAAAUCUGUGCUUCUUUGGACCUUAAGUGGGGCCAUAAGGAAAUUACCUCGUUGCUGUGAGUUGACCGCUACUGAGCAGAACUUCAGUGGUACCUACACAAAGAUACCAAAAUCUCUGCUGAAUGGAGACAGCCAGCUGAAUCAGAGAUAGCUGCUUCAGAGGAAACCCAGGAGUGUUAAUGCUUAAGUCUGCAUGCUGGAGCAAUGACAUUGGCAAGAUCAAGGCCAAGACUGCGCCGUUAUUUUCCUGGGUAAAAGUUCAGAGAAUCAUCAAGAACUCUGCUAUGAGUUGUGCCCAUGGCUCUGCAGAGCAGGAAUUAAAGCAACAACCUGCCUGGGAUCAGUAUGAGCAGAGGGAGAAUCCAGUUCCAGGUGUUCAGCCAUGGCAAAGGCAGAAGCAGACACUGUCAGCAUGUUUCAGCCCCCUUGACAGCCACUACUGA
rnacentral:lncRNA from 1 species